rnacentral:lncRNA from 1 species
GAUCUCUUCAUCACAGGCAUCGUAGGAAUUCGUUGCGAGAACUGACACGCGGCGUCAUUUGCUUGGCCUUGUCCGACGUGUAUUAUCUGCCUUUUUUACAGGUAUGUUUUAGGGCUACUGGCUGGGAAUCCAAUGGUACGCAGCUCGAAUUCGUCACAGCCUGGAUGAGGCGCUUGAUUCCGGGUAGCUUGAGAGGUAUGUGGAGCCUCUUGGCUUGAGUGAGUUUUUCUUCGGCGAAACUUUCUUUGGGACGUUUGUAGAGCACUAGAACAGGAAAUGCAAGGGGAGUGUUGGGUUGAUUUUAUGGCUGUGAGCGUGACCGUGGUUUUUUGGAAUUCGUUCUUCCAACAAGUUCCCAUCUAGAAGUUCAUGUACGACCAGUCCAGUAACAGGGAUUCCUGCGUCUCUAUUUGGUGGGUCACUGGAAGGCAAAGAUGCUUUUUCUCUUGGAAGGAAGAAGAAGAGCUUGAGGCUUCCAAGGCAAACUUGCUCAUCCAUCUCGCAGGCAAGGUGGUGGUAGAGAGAAGCUACAGUGUGAAAACGUUUCACCAUAAAUAUGUGUGCAUAGUGACUUUACUUCUGUGACUGGUUCUAACACAUGUCCUUACACUUUGAUCUCACUGUAAUUAACGAAAUAUUCAGCAAAUUUGCAAAAGAAAAGUUUAAU